rnacentral:sRNA from 12 species
AGAGAUAGUCAUAGAUCGUGACUAGGGUGAAAUAAAGAAAGAUCAAUGAGA